GUGUGCAAUAGAAUUUGAACUCUUGACCUUUGAAAGAAAGAAUGAGGACUUAUCCAUUGCACCAAUUCAUAACUUGCAAAUAUUUAGAACAAAAUAAAAUUAUAGAUACUUGAAAUUUUAUAUUAAAAAAAAAGAACAAUGAUAAUAAAUUAAUUCCGAACCUAGGCAACAAUUAACGACAAUUAAGGUAAACUACUAACUCACAUAAGCAUAGACUACUCCAUCUAUUCUGGAAUUGGGAAAAAAAAAAUAAUGAACUGCUAUAUCAAUACGUAAACAUAUGAACUGCUAUAUGAAAAAAAAAAAAAAACAAUGAACUGCUAUAUGAAAAAAAACAAGUAAACAUGUUCAAGAAACAAUACCAUUGCAUGGCUACAAGUGCAUUGGACAAACACAUCCAAUUAAACCCAACCAAACACCAAAAGGCAAAAAGUAGUGUAACAAAUAGGCCAACCAAAGCAUCUUGCCUUUCGUUCGCACAAUCAAAUCUUG
rnacentral:lncRNA from 1 species